ensembl:lncRNA
GUUACCUACCAUCUCAAAACAUUUACCAUUUCUCUACUGUGCAAUUUAAAGAAAAUAUUUCUUUUAGAUGCCUUGAAAUAUGGAAUUCAUUAUUUCCUAUUUUCAUCCUACCAUGCAAUAGAAUACCAAACUCUAACUUUUCCCUAAUUACAUCUGUUACCUUGGCAGUAUCUCCAUACCCCCUGUCCUUUCCAGUAUGUGGUAACCUCUGAUUUACUUUGGACCUCAUGAAAUACAAUAUGAAUAGAGAUUUAUUUUUAUGUAUAUGUGUUUAUGCAUUUAUAUACACACACCAGAGGUGUGUGUGUGUGUGUGUGUGUGUGUGUGUGUGUGUGUGUGUGUGUGUGUGUGUGUGUGCCCAUGGAUGCCAAAAGAGGCUGUUAGAUCCCCUGGAGCUUGAGUUAUAGGCAGUUGUGAGCUGCCCAUUUGUGGGUGCUAGAAUCUAAACUCAGGUCCUCUGGAAGUGUUCUUAACCACUGAGAUUUCUCUCCAUUCCCAAGAUCAGAAAAAAAGAAAAAAAGAAAGAUUCUCCAGGUUCUAAUUUAGAAGGCAUGUUAAUAGGUCAAUCGGUGCUAAUCUCAUACAAAUAAUUGUGAAAAGAAGAAAUGGGAAAUUCCUCAGUUCUCUAUUUUGUCUUAUAAUGAGCAGGUGAUGGGAGAGGCUUGUUCUUUGCUGUCUUCUUUUUCUUUAAUUCUCACCAUGGUUUCUUCAGGAAGAGCUUGUGUGCAAAUGCAGUUGACUGCAAAGGACUGGUACAGCUGGAAUGGAGGUGUACUGUAGGAGGAAAGUGGAAAAUGCUCAUGUCCCUCAUGCAUCUCUCUUUGGUGGCCUUUGAUGCACUUUUGAGCAUUUACUGGGAGCCUGAAGAACUUAUCCCAGUCUGAUAUAUAAAGCAACAAGCUUUCCUCUGAGAAGUAAAUCCACAUAUCUUUUGAGUAGUACCAGUAUUUAGAAAUAACCCUCCUAAGACAUGGCAAGCAUACACCUGGGCUCAGGAGUUUACAAUUUCUAUCAAGACAAUGUUGAUUUUAACCCUCCUGGUAAAAUGAUUAUGCUGUCAUAUUUUCACAGGGAAAAUCUGUUGGAGCCAGUUUUAACACAUCAUUACCCAUAAUUAAGGCCACAAAAGAUUUAUUCAAGGGCUUUUACAGAGGGUUCAGUAUUUUGCAUAUAGCAGUGGUUCAUUUUUAACACCAGAAAGGGUAAUUUCCAGCUUGGUAACCUGGAACCAAAGGUUACGGCAUCCAGGUAACAGGAGGAAUAGAGCCACCUGAGUUAUCAUGCAGUAAAAGGAUAAACUAUCUGGAGUUUUAAGUCCUGGAAGAACAAAGAAAGCUUUGAAAGUAGAUGUUGAAGCAGACGUUUAGAACUAAAUUGUCUUCAAGAAACAAUAUCAAGACUGUAAUUGAACUCCACUGAGGUUCUGAUUUUAGUGCAACCUAGUUCCAAACCAAUUAUUUUCUGUUCAAACCAAUCAGUUGGUAGGUGUGUAGGGCCUUCAUGUAAUUUGUAAGGUUCAGUUAAAAAUGAAACUGUAAUGCCUCCUUGUUCUAAAAACACUAACAAUAUUCUGUGAAUGGGGCUAAAAUAGAAAAAAAUUCUUUUAUGUUUUUUCUGACUUAUCAUAGUAUUUCUAUUUAAUACAAUCCUAGGUAAAAAUAUCAAAGUUAUAAAACAGCAUGAAUUUUAGAGGUCAUAUACAAUGCUCCUACUAACCCAAACUCAUCGCCAUUUAAUCCUUGUGUAGAAUCACCAAAAUUACAGAAUUUGUAUGUUGUAGUCAUGCAAGGCUAUGUGUUUUGUUCUGAGCCAUGGAAGCCUUCCUCAAAACAACACAAUCCUUUUAACUGUGAUUUGCACACAUCCUAUUAAUGUGCUAUUUUGUCUUUUCCUUUCCUUCCGUGCCCACAUUUAGCUUACGGAGAAAAGUAACAUGACUGAGAAAUGGUGACAGGCUUCCUUUCCCAUUUCUGGUUCUGAGAACACCAUUGGCUCCUUUCUGUAUUUGAGACAAUUUCUGAUUCAAGUGGAGACUGAGUGUCCCUCAGCUGUGAGCUUUCCCUCCCAGUUUAACAAGUUGUUUUGAGGAUGGAAUGAAAUGGCUGAUACAAGCAGUUAUGCAAAAAGAAAGAAAAGUGUUCAGAUAAUAAUGAAUUGGAGUGCAGCUCAGGGAUGGCCUUCGUUGAAGAGUGACUGUGAGCCACAGUUAUCACCUUCAUUGUGAGCCUUCAUCCAGUAGCUGAUGGAAGCAGAGGCAGACAUCCACAGCUAAACACUGAGCUGAACUCUGGAAUCCAGUUGCAGAGAGGGAGGAGUGAUGAGUAAAGGGGUCAAGACCAGUGGAGAAACCUAAAGAAACAGCUGACCUGAACAAAGGGUUGCCCAUGGACCCCAGACUGAUAGCUGGGAAACCAGCACAGGACUGUUCCAGACCCCAGAAGGCGGAGUUCUCUGGGUCCUGUAUUCUUGACACAGGACUUGCAAAACACACUGGCUAUGCUGACCAAGGACCUUUCCAGCUCCAAAGCCACUGACUCACGCUCCUGAGCAGCUGGUUUCCCACAGGAAAGGAGGUAGGUAGGGCAGUUUAAGGAUGCAUUUAUUUUAAAGACUCAUAAAAGAAAUUGCCUUGGCAUGAAUGAAAUGAGUAAGAGGAUUGUGACUCCCUAGUUGGGAGAGAUUAUCUUCGAUUUCGCAAGGAAUCCCUCUGCAGAGUCAGUCAAAUAAAUAAACCGAAGGAGCACCGGCAGCUGGCAAUUCUACUGAGAAGCAACAAGACCUCUCAAAGAUUGCGGGGCCUUUGUCAAGUCAUGGAAGUUGGAGAAGGACGGAAGACCCGUAAGAAUCACGAGGCUCGGGAUGACAACUGUGAGCAGAAGCGAUUGGCGCCUGGAGUGAACAUGCUCUCAUUGUCUUGGCAUCGAGUCCAGAUGAUGGGAGUGUGAGAUCGUCUUGAGGAUGGGAAUAACGCUAAGCCUGGAGGAGAGAGAGUAAACUAGAAAGAAAUAAAAUUGAGACGCGGCACAUAAUAUGCUAUUUCUUGAACACUCAAGUUUGUAUAUUGAAAAUUGUAGCUGUCACAUGACAGAAAUGGUGCAAAUAGCCACAUUAAUAUAAUAUAUGGGAAUUAAAUAUUGUUUUUUCUGGGGAAAUGAGAUUUAAUAGAAAAUAAUUUUUGCAUUGACAGCUUUACAUAUUUAUUUCACCUGUAACUGCUUUCCCUCUGUUAAAGGAGUGCGCUGUUUAUUUCUGUCAUUUAAGGAACAUUUAUUUCUGUUCUAUAAACACAAAUAUUUAGCAGCAAUGUAUAAAAAAUGAGUUCUAGUCAACUGCAUAAAUGACAAUGGUACUGUGCUUCAUCUUGUAAUUCACAAACUUACUAAAAAUUAUACAAAUGUGGCAUGAUACAAUAUAAAGUCAAAAUUUCUAAAGUAGUUGUAAAGUCAUAGAUGUCUAUUUGUAUAAAAUGAUAAUGUUUAACAUAUCCUUGAAUUCUCAGAACACUUCCAUAAAGCAAUUGUUUUUACUUUCUGUGGUUGAUAAUUAAAAUAUGUCUGAAACAUCUGAGGGAUACACAAUAUUAAAACAUUUUGAAGUCUUUGAAAAUCACAGUCAAGACUUUUAUGGAAAAGUAAAGAAGUAUGAGCUCAUUACUUAUGUGUCACAGUCUGAGGUGACUGCAGGAUAUCUUCUACCCCACAUUCCUUUAAAAAACCAAUAUCAAAUUAAUAUACAUAUAUAUAUAUAUUAAUCUGAGGAGAGCAUUUAAUGUUUAUCACAAAUUUACGUAAUUGCAUUAUAUAAGAUUUUACUGCCUAUUUUUCAACACCCUUUACUUUCAUAUGUCUUUCUUUGUCUUUUGUAAAUCAUAACCUGGGGCUGAGUCCCUGGACAAGAAGCACCAUCUUCUGACAUCACCUUAAUAAACAUUCCAUGUUAGGCAUGUCUCUUCUGCCUCUGUCACCAUCAGGUGCAGACGCAGUCGUUUUAGUGUCUAUUUUUGUCCAACAUGCUUCUUGUUUGCUUUGCUAGUCACAGCAGGUUAUCUUUGCAUUCAUUUUGCUGACUCUCACUUUUCCUCUUGCUCUGUAUAAUGCACACACAACACAGUCCAGCCUUUUUAGCCAGCAGAGUGUGAAUCACAGAACAACGUGAAAGGCUUGUCUUUCACUGCAGCUGUGACCCAACUUCCUUCCCGGUUGUUCUAAGUGCCCACUUUGUUUUCUACCCCUUUCCUUUCUUUCCACAUCCCUCACCAAUGAUGAUAUUUUGCUUGUCCAUGCUUAACUGCCUUUUGAGGCUCUUCUUUUCCUAUAUUUUCUGUAAGGACAACUCAAUUCAUUUCCACAGAAACGAAUUUAUUUAUUUAUUUAUUUAUUUAUUUAUUUAUUUAUUUAUGUUCUGGUAUUGCAACUUGUGUCACAGAUACAGCAUAGAAUUCACUGUUCAUUUGGAUUAUAAUUACUCAUCGACACACUUUGGGUAGGAGGAUGCUAAAACCUAGGAUAAAACGUUAAUAUGCUUUCAUGUCAUUAAAUCUUUGGAUAAAAGAACCGACUUUUGUGUACUUAACAAAUGGCUUUGAUGAAAAAGGAGUGUAUAAGAACAAGUGAAAAGGAUACAAAAAUUGCACAAAAUCAAGAGUAUGGAGAUGUGGCCAGGCAAACCAUUCUGUAAAAGCUACGUUGUAAAUAUGUUUGCCUUUGUAGGUCAUAGUCAAUGUAAACUUCAUCAUUUUAUUAAAGAAGCAGCCAGUGACAAUAUACAAGUGUCUGUAAGUGUGUGUGUGCUUGCACACACAUGUGUGUGUAUGUGUGUGUAAUAUCUAGUUUCAACAAAUAUCCUAAUGAAGUAAAAAAAUAUCACCUGGUCUUUGCAUAAAUGUCACAAUUGGUAGAAUCAGUGUUUGAUAUUUCUCCAUCAAUUCAAUUCAUUUCCAUUUUGCUGCUGGAUGAUUUCACGAUGUCUCUUACUUCAUAUUCACCAUGUCUAAAGUAUAAGUAAUUCUCUUGUGCCAAACAACAGUGUUAUUUAUUUCAAAGACUGGAUCUUCCCCCUGGACUGUAACAUCUAAAUCCAU